rnacentral:rRNA from 1 species
GACGAACGCUGGCGGCGUGCUUAACACAUGCAAGUCGAACGGAAAGGCCCUGCUUUUGUGGGGUGCUCGAGUGGCGAACGGGUGAGUAACACGUGAGUAACCUGCCCUUGACUUUGGGAUAACUUCAGGAAACUGGGGCUAAUACCGGAUAGGAGCUCCUGCUGCAUGGUGGGGGUUGGAAAGUUUCGGCGGUUGGGGAUGGACUCGCGGCUUAUCAGCUUGUUGGUGGGGUAGUGGCUUACCAAGGCUUUGACGGGAAGCCGGCCUGAGAGGGUGACCGGCCACAUUGGGACUGAGAUACGGACCAGACUCCUACGGGAGGCAGCAGUGGGGAAUAUUGCACAAUGGGCGGAAGCCUGAUGCAGCAACGCCGCGUGCGGGAUGACGGCCUUCGGGUUGUAAACCGCUUUCGCCUGUGACGAAGCGUGAGUGACGGUAAUGGGUAAAGAAGCACCGGCUAACUACGUG